GAUGAACGCUAGCGGCAGGCUUAAUACAUGCAAGUCGAACGGGAUUGAGAAGCUUGCUUUUCAUGAGAGUGGCGCACGGGUGCGUAACACGUAUGCAACCUACCUUGUCCAGGGGGAUAGCCCGUUGAAAGACGGAUUAAGACCGCAUAACAUUGAGCUGUGGCAUCACAAAUCAAUCAAAUAUUUAUAGGGACAAGAUGGGCAUGCGCCUGAUUAGGUAGUUGGCGGGGUAAUGGCCCACCAAGCCGACGAUCAGUAGGGGAUCGGAGAGGAUGACCCCCCACACUGGUACCGAGACACGGACCAGACUCCUACGGGAGGCAGCAGUAAGGAAUAUUGGUCAAUGGGCGAAAGCCUGAACCAGCCAUGCCGCGUGCAGGAAGACGGCCCUACGGGUUGUAAACUGCUUUUGUCAGGGAAGAAAAGACUCCUGUUAAUACCGGGGGUUCAUGACGGUACCUGAAGAAUAAGCACCGGCUAACUACGUGCCAGCAGCCGCUGUAA
rnacentral:rRNA from 1 species